GACCACAUAGCUCAGUUGUAGAGCGGUUGCCUAGAGAGCGAAAGAUUCUCAGUUCAAAUCUGAGAGUAGGCA
rnacentral:tRNA from 1 species